GGCACCACUUUCAGAUAAAAACAUAGACCUGAAUGGCAUCAUCCAGUAUCCAAGGAAACCAUAAAAAGGGCCCACCCUUGCUCAGAAACCAGUGUUCUGUGUGGAGAAAACAAGGUUCUCCAUGGAGAGAAUCCUACAAAUCUCUGAUAUCUGCGUGUUUGAGAAACUACCUUCAUUCAGACACAUGGACUGUAACUUCUGAGUCCUUAACCAUCACCUCAAAUUAUCAAGGGAGAAGAAAGGAGAAAUUUCGCAUAGAGUGUUUGGACCCUCUGAUUAAGCAACUGAUUAAAAAAAACGUAGGAUUUUUCUCACCUUUGGAAAAAAUAAAUCUCUUACCAGAGAUAUGA
rnacentral:lncRNA from 1 species